rnacentral:rRNA from 1 species
GAUGAACGCUGGCGGCGUGCCUAAUACAUGCAAGUCGAGCGAACAGAUGAGAAGCUUGCUUCUCUGAUGUUAGCGGCGGACGGGUGAGUAACACGUGGGUAACCUACCUAUAAGACUGGGAUAACUCCGGGAAACCGGGGCUAAUACCGGAUAAUAUUUUGAACCGCAUGGUUCAAUAGUGAAAGGCGGUUUCGGCUGUCACUUAUAGAUGGACCCGCGCCGUAUUAGCUAGUUGGUAAGGUAACGGCUUACCAAGGCGACGAUACGUAGCCGACCUGAGAGGGUGAUCGGCCACACUGGAACUGAGACACGGUCCAGACUCCUACGGGAGGCAGCAGUAGGGAAUCUUCCGCAAUGGGCGAAAGCCUGACGGAGCGACGCCGCGUGAGUGAUGAAGGUCUUCGGAUCGUAAAACUCUGUUGUUAGGGAAGAACAAAUUUGUUAGUAACUGAACAAGUCUUGACGGUACCUAACCAGAAAGCCACGGCUAACUACGUGCCAGCAGCCGCCGUAA